rnacentral:snRNA from 1 species
GUGCUUCACUUCGGCAGCACAUAUACUAAAAUUAGAAAGAUACAGAGAAGAUUAGCAUGGCCCCUG